UGGGGAAUAUUGGACAAUGGGCGAAAGCCUGAUCCAGCCAUGCCGCGUGUGUGAAGAAGGUCUUCGGAUUGUAAAGCACUUUAAGUUGGGAGGAAGGGCAUUAACCUAAUACGUUAGUGUUUUGACGUUACCGACAGAAUAAGCACCGGCUAACUCUGUGCCAGCAGCCGCGGUAAUACAGAGGGUGCAAGCGUUAAUCGGAAUUACUGGGCGUAAAGCGCGCGUAGGUGGUCUGUUAAGUUGGAUGUGAAAUCCCCGGGCUCAACCUGGGAACUGCAUUCAAAACUGACUGACUAGAGUAUGGUAGAGGGUAGUGGAAUUUCCUGUGUAGCGGUGAAAUGCGUAGAUAUAGGAAGGAACACCAGUGGCGAAGGCGACCACCUGGACUAAUACUGACACUGAGGUGCGAAAGCGUGGGGAGCAAACA
rnacentral:rRNA from 1 species